rnacentral:rRNA from 1 species
GGUCAAAUCCGCUGAAAACACCGGUUCUCGUUCGAUCACCGAAGUUAAGCAUCGUAGAGCCAGGUCAGUACUUUUAGAUGGGGACCGCUUGGGGAACACCUGGUACUGUAAG